ACAUAUAUAGUUUAAUUAAAACAUUAUAUUUUCAUUGUAAAGAUAAAAUUAUUAUUUUUUUUAUGUA
rnacentral:tRNA from 1 species